ensembl:lncRNA
GGGGUAAAGUGACUGUACAUAGAUAAUAAACAGUAGUACAGGUUAGUUGAGGUAAUCUGUACAUGUAGGUAGGGGUAAAGUGACUGUACAUAGAUAAUAAACAGUAGUACAGGUUAGUUGAGGUAAUCUGUACAUGUAGGUAGGGGUAAAGUGACUGUACAUAGAUAAUAAACAGUAGUACAGGUUAGUUGAGGUAAUCUGUACAUGUAGGUGGGGGUAAAGUGACUAUGACAUAGAUAAUAAACAGUAGUACAGGUUAGUUGAGGUAAUCUGUACAUGUAGGUGGGGGUAAAGUGACUGUACAUAGAUAACAAACAGAGUAGCAGCAGUGUAAAAACAAAGGGAUGGAGGUUAAUAUAAAGUAUAUAAAAUAUAAAGUCCGGUGGCCAUUUGAUUAAUUGUUCAGCAGUCUUAUGGCUUGGGGGUAGAAGCUGUUAAGCAGCCUUUUGGGCCGAAACUUG